rnacentral:rRNA from 1 species
GUGGGGAAUAUUGGACAAUGGGCGAAAGCCUGAUCCAGCCAUGCCGCGUGUGUGAAGAAGGUCUUCGGAUUGUAAAGCACUUUAAGUUGGGAGGAAGGGCAGUAAGUUAAUACCUUGCUGUUUUGACGUUACCGACAGAAUAAGCACCGGCUAACUUCGUGCCAGCAGCCGCGGUAAUACGAAGGGUGCAAGCGUUAAUCGGAAUUACUGGGCGUAAAGCGCGCGUAGGUGGUGUUGUAAGUUGGAGGUGAAAUCCCCGGGCUCAACCUGGGAACUGCCUCCAAAACUGCAUGACUAGAGUACGGUAGAGGGUAGUGGAAUUUCCUGUGUAGCGGUGAAAUGCGUAGAUAUAGGAAGGAACACCAGUGGCGAAGGCGACUACCUGGACUGAUACUGACACUGAGGUGCGAAAGCGUGGGGAGCAAACAGGAUUAGAAACCCCGGUAGUCC